rnacentral:misc_RNA from 1 species
AACGGUCUAUACCUGCGGUACCUGCGGAGGGAUCGUUAUUGAAACAUUGUAAAGAAGAGUUGAGCUGGUCCUUCAAGGACAAGUGCUCGCUUUUCUUUCAAUCUUCAUCCACCUGUGCACCUUUUGUAGAGAGUCUGAAAACUGAGCCUUUUAAGUAAGGUUCUGGGUAUUUGGGCUCUCUAUGUCUUUAUAUACACCAAUUGUAUGUUUCUGAAUGUCUUUUUAAGGGACUUUAUUGGA